rnacentral:rRNA from 1 species
AUGACGGCUUCUUCAUGCAAAAGUGGCCUGAGAGGCGCCGCAAAGUCAUUGUUCUCCCCGGUGGCAUUAUCCACUGGACGACUCUACCUAGGAUCCUAUUCCCCCCCCCCCCCAGUCGGGUGCGGGUCCAGGCUACUAAGAUUGUACCACGUCGUAGGUUUCACUAUCUCCAUGUGGCACCAGCUCUAUGACGGUGAGCAAGUUCAACCACUACUAGGAAAAUGCUUGUACGUAGAAGGCGGAUUUGAUAUGAUCUGCAGUGGAAGGGAUAAGAUUGAAACACCAGAGCAGUUCCAGCAAGCUGAAGACACAGUCAACAGACUUGAUUUGGAUGGACUUGUUGUCAUCGGUGGUGAUGAUUCAAACACAAACGCAUGCCUCCUCGGUGAAUACUUCAGGGGAAGGAACUUGAAGACUCGUGUUAUUAGUUGCACAAAGACUAUUGAUGGAGAUCUAAAAUGCAAGGAGGUCCCAACAAUGGUAUUCAGAUCUUUAUUAAUUGAAUUAUUAAGUACACGUAGAGAGCUUAUGGGUCGUGCUGCUUCUCACAUUACACUAGAGUGUGCUCUACAGACACACCCUAAUGUUGCACUCAUCGGUGAAGAGGUUGCUGAGAAGAAGGAAACACUCAAGAAUGUCACAGACUACAUUACCGAUGUUGUUUACAAACGUGUAGAACUUGGUUACAACUAUGGAGUUGUCCUAAUACCGGAAGGCUUGAUUGAUUUCAUCCCAGAGAUUCAAAAACUCAUUGCAGAAUUGAAUGAAAUUUUGGCACAUGAUGUUGUUGACGAGGCAGGGGCUUGGAAAAGCAAGCUUGAACCAGCAUCUAGGGAGUUGUUUGACUUCUUGCCCAAAACCAUUCAGGAGCAGCUUUUGCUUGAAAGAGAUCCCCAUGGCAAUGUUCAGGUUGCAAAAAUUGAAACUGAGAAAAUGCUUAUUGCCAUGGUUGAAACUGAAUUGGAGAAGAGAAGAGCGGCGGGGAAGUACUCUGCACAUUUCAGAGCCCAGUCUCUAGAUGCUGGUUCCUGUAGCGACGUCGCACCCACAUCAUUUGAUUCCUCUCAUUGGGAUGUGCACGCUGCCGACGUCGACACACCCAUCAAUAUCCUGCCUCCUAUCCACAGUAAUUAUUCCCGAGUUGCUGCCACAACCACUUUACAAGAAAUAGAGGUCAAUCAAACUGAUAAGCAAGCAUGGAAACCGAAUAUGCAGAAGACAAAGUUCUUCACUUCGGCUCGCACGAUCUUCGCGUUCUCCUCCUCGGUCCUCUCAUAUGAUGGCGGUGUAGCUUCGGGGGCAGUUUCGGCAUCUCUAUUGAUGUCUCGUUCCUCUAGCACUUGA